rnacentral:rRNA from 1 species
AACGAACGCUGGCGGCAGGCCUAACACAUGCAAGUCGAACGCUGUAGCAAUACAGAGUGGCAGACGGGUGAGUAACACGUGGGAAUCUUCCUAUCGGUACGGAAUAGCUCAGGGAAACUUGAGGUAAUACCGCAUACGCCCUUCGGGGGAAAGAUGUAUCGCCGAUAGAUGAGUCCGCGUCUGAGUAGCUAGUUGGUGAGGUAAUGGCUCACCAAGGCGACGAUCAGUAGCUGGUCUGAGAGGAUGACCAGCCACACUGGGAGUGAGACACGGCCCAGACUCCUACGGGAGGCAGCAGUGGGGAAUAUUGGACAAUGGGCGGAAGCCUGAUCCAGCCAUGCCGCGUGAGUGACGAAGGUCUUCGGAUUGUAAAGCUCUUUUGCCAGGGACGAUAAUGACGGUACCUGGAGAAUAAGCCCCGGCUAACUUCGUGCCAGCAGCCGCCGCCG